ensembl:miRNA
ACCGGAGACGGAAGCUACAAGAGUGGCUGAGUUUGGGGUCCCUCAGGUUCCUUUUUCAAAAG